rnacentral:rRNA from 1 species
UGGGGAAUUUUGCGCAAUGGGGGAAACCCUGACGCAGCAACGCCGCGUGAGUGAUGAAGGCUUUCGGGUCGUAAAGCUCUGUCAGUAGGGAAGAAAUGAGACGUGCUAAUACCACGUUUUCUUGACGGUACCUACAAAGGAAGCACCGGCCAACUCCGUGCCAGCAGCCGCGGUAAUACGGAGGGUGCAAGCGUUGUUCGGAUUUAUUGGGCGUAAAGCGCGUGUAGGCGGUUUCUUAAGUCUGAUGUGAAAGCCCUGGGCUCAACCCAGGAAGUGCAUUGGAUACUGGGAGACUUGAAUACGGGAGAGGGUAGUGGAAUUCCUAGUGUAGGAGUGAAAUCCGUAGAUAUUAGGAGGAACACCGGUGGCGAAGGCGGCUACCUGGACCGAUAUUGACGCUGAGACGCGAAAGCGUGGGGAGCAAACAGGAUUAGAUACCCUGGUAGUCCACGCCGUAAACGAUGAGAACUAGGUGUUGCGGGUAUUGACCCCUGCAGUGCCGCAGCUAACGCAUUAAGUUCUCCGCCUGGGAAGUGCGGUCGCAAGACUAA